GACUCGUCACACUAUCAUUAACUGAAUCCAUAGGUUAAUGAGGCGAACCGGGGGAACUGAAACAUCUAAGUACCCCGAGGAAAAGAAAUCAACCGAGAUUCCCCCAGUAGCGGCGAGCGAACGGGGAGGAGCCCAGAGCCUGAAUCAGCAUGUGUGUUAGUGGAAGCGUCUGGAAAGGCGCGCGAUACAGGGUGACAGCCCCGUACACAAAAGCGCAUGUGCUGUGAGCUCGAUGAGUAGGGCGGGACACGUGGUAUCCUGUCUGAAUAUGGGGGGACCAUCCUCCAAGGCUAAAUACUCCUGACUGACCGAUAGUGAACCAGUACCGUGAGGGAAAGGCGAAAAGAACCCCGGCGAGGGGAGUGAAAAAGAACCUGAAACCGUGUACGUACAAGCAGUGGGAGCACCCUUUGGGGUGUGACUGCGUACC
rnacentral:rRNA from 1 species